rnacentral:lncRNA from 1 species
UUGGCCUGUGAAAAAUCAAAAAACAGAAAUAAAAUCAGACUUCUUUAGAAGCGCAAUAAUUACGCCUUUUUCCUGCCCAAUCAGAACUUAUCUCUUGCCGUCUUGUCCCUUCAUCUGACAUUUCUUCAUCAAGACACUUUCAUAUCCCCAAGGGGAGCACUUCUCCAUCAAAUCCAUUGGCAUCCCUCUUCAAACUCCCCAAUUUCACUUUCUUCCUUCCAUUUUCAAUCUGGUUCUCUCGUCCUGUCCCUCUCCUCUUGCUUCUCUACAGAUUCUGGAACACUUCCUACCAGGUAUAUUUCCUCCUUAUUCUUCAACGUUUCAUUUGCUAAAAGAUGAGCUAAACUGUUUGCUAUUUGUGGGAUGAAUUCAAAUCUACAUUCCCUAAAUUUUAACAAAAGCUGAUGAAUCUCAUGAAUAUAAGCGCCUACCAGAGACUUGUCUGGGCUUUUCGCCUUGCAUUUUUUUAUUAUUGACAAGGAAUCUCCUUCAAUAAUAAUUUUUUGCCAUUGCAUGUCAAUACCGAUCUGGAUCGCUUUCCGGCACGCGAGUGCCUCAGCAACGAAAGUAGAUGCAACUCGUUGAUGGAUCUCCGUACACGAUAAAAGAACACUUCCUUCGCUAUUUCUGGCCACGACCCCUACUGCCGAUUGGCAAGUUCUUGCAUCAUAUGCGGCAUCAAAAUUAAUCUUCACAACCUGAUCAGAUGGGUGCCUCCAUUUUCUAACAAUAAAAGAGUUUUGUGUAUUUCUUUUAUCACUCUCGUUUAGCUCUGAUAUAUAAUUAUUAACGAAAGUUACUAUUUUUUUUCCAGAUUUACUAGCCUUCUUAUGCACUCCAGCGUUCCUGUCUCCCCAAAUGACCCAUAAAACAUAGCAAAAAAGCCUACACUGAGAUGGCGACCUCUGCGAAAAUACCCAGGUUAGCCACUGUAAAAACCCCAAAUGGGUUUAUUGUAUAGAAAACUGGCCUGAUAACUCUCUCUAAACUGAAACUGAAAUAGGACAUUCACGAAAAAGAUAGUCCAUAUUCUCUGUUCCACUUCCACACUGAGGGCAUAUUGUUGUGUUCGUUAACUUUCUUUGUAACAUAUUACCUCGUAUAGGUAGAUAGUUCCAUGAUAAUUUCCAAACUGUAAUUUUUGUAGCCAUAGUUUUUUGUAAAAUUCCUUAUAGUCGGCUUGUAAAACGUAAGCUGUAGGAUUGCCUUCAAUGCUCUGUAAUAGUUUAUAGGCACUACGUACUGUGUAUUCUCCCGAUGGCUCACCACUCCAUGCCCGAAAAUCAUUGUGAGGUUCCUCUGCCAACGGAAUACGGAGAAUCUUCUCGGCUUGUAAUGACAUAUUUCACGGACACCGAAAAAGUGAGUUUAAGGUUUCCGUAUUAGGAAAAUGAGUUAGUAAAUAUUUAUAAAAAAAUAUUUAUGAAGUUAGUUGUGAGUUGAAUUAGAUUUUAAUUAGGUGAAUUUAUUUUUAAUUAGAAGUGCUUAGUAGAAAGGAUUAAAUUGAAUAGAGCAUAAAAGCUUAAUAAUAAAAUAGAGAAAGGAUAAAUGAUUAAAUUAGUAAUUAAACUAAAUUAGUGACAUGUGUAAGUUAGAAAAUAAAUACAUGUGUAUUUAAAUUAUUAGUACAAGUAUAUAUAAUAUAUAAAUUUACUUAUAAAUUAAGUAAAAGAUAUUUACUUAUUAUUAUUAUUAUUAUAUUUUAUCAAUUAAUUGAGAUAAUGAAAAAUAUAUGGUGAUGAAAUAUUACAUGUGUACAUGUAUGUAUGAAUACACAUGUAGUAUUUUUAUUUGUAUUAAUUAAAUAUUUUAUAAUUAAUUAUUAAUUUAGUAAAUGAAAGAAAUAAAAUGAAAUAAAGAAUAAAUAAAAGAAAGAAAAACAAGAAAAAGAAACACAAAAGAAAUGAAAUAGAAAGAAAGAAGAAAAGAAAAGAAAAGAAAAAGGAGAAAUUAGGGUUUGAAAGCUUGGAAGUUAAAUUGGUACGUCAAUUAAGUUUCUUUCUUAGUGAUUUUGAUAUUUUUGAAGUUCUAAAGUUUAAUACUUUUGAAUUUGUGUGAAAAUAUUGAAAGAUGAUAGACUUUUAAAUAGGGUUUAUGUUGAACUAAUGAUGAAAUUAGGAGUUUAAUUGAUAGAAAUUUUGAUUUAAAUUGAUUAAAGGAUUGAACUGUAAACAAGGUCAUAAGUUUUGUGUUUAGGGACUAAAUUGAUAGAAAUUUAAAAUUAUGGAAAAAUGAUAAAUGUUUGAUGGAAAUUGAAUAAGGAAAUAAUAUGAAUUAUAAAAAGGAAGAAGAUGAAAAUAGUUAGGAUAAAUUUGGGAUUUAGGUUAAAGUUGCAUGGAAAGUUAUUAUUUUCUAUAAAAUAAGUGUGUUAUUAAUUAAUUAUAAUUAUGUUAAUUUUCAUAACAAACAAGGAAACUAAGACUUUGAAUGAGAAGGGAAAAGAAAAAGUGAUUGAGGAGUAGCUCAAAAAAAUAUCGGUUUGUAUUACCUUAAUUCAAGUUAUUUAUUAUUAAAUGUUUAAUUUCAAUAUAUGUGUAUGAAAAAUGAAAUUGAGGUAAGCAGUGAUAAUUGAAUUGAAUGAGAAUUGGAUUUGAUUGAUGAAUGUAUACAUGUGUGAAAUUGAAUUGUAUAAUGAUUUGUGGUGAAUUUGAAAUUGUGAUUGAAUUGUUAUUGUGAUUGAUUUGAAUUCGAAUGAUUCCAAUAUCCUAUUAACUAGUUGGGGUAGGUUGGAUAUAGUUGGCAUGUCAUAGGAUAGGAAGAAUUCAGGGAUUCUUCGAUCUCGAGUCGAUAAAACACUUGUUGUGUCAUAUUUACUUCGGAUAGAUUCGAUGAGGCGUUGGUCGCCGCUUUGCUUUGGCUUAGCUGAUGAGACGUUGGUCGUCACUUAUUUGCUUCGAACUAUCCGAUGAGGCGUUGGCCGCCACUCUGGUGUGUUUGGUUGGAUCCGUGUAUUCUCUAAAGUCCGAGUUAUGUUAAUAGGGGAAAUAUAUGUGAAGAGAAAAAUUAAAUGAAAUUGAUAAAUUAAAUUAUUGAAUGAAAUGAGAAAGUGAUAUUAUAAGAUGAAAUGAGAAAUAUAAUUUGAGCUAUGAGAUUGAAGGCAUAAAACCUAGGCUAAUGAAUUAUUCAUAUUUGAAUGUGAAUUGGAUAUUUAUAUGAUGAAAUGAGAAAUAUAAUUUGAGCUAUGAGAUUGAAGGUAUAAAACCUAGGCUAAUGAAUUAUUCAUAUUUGAAUGUGAAUUGGGUAUUUAUAUGUGAUUGAGAGAUGAACGAAAUGUUCAUGAAUAGUUGGUAAUCUUAUUGAUGAGAUAUUGAAUCAAAUAAUGAAAAUGAUACAAUGGAAAUAUGAUAAUUUAGAAUGAAUUAUAUGUAUGAUUUGUUAAUUAUCUAUGCAUGUUUAUAAUAUUUUAUAUUUUCUAUAAUUUGAAUUAUGGUAAUACUACUGAGUAUUUUCAAUACUCAGCGUACGGUUUGUUUCCGUGCGCAGGCUAGGUAAAGUUGAAGUUUGGUACAGCAUCCGAGUCAAUCCUAACCUCAGCUUAAUUUCUGGUGAAGAAUCUAUCUUUUGGAAAUGUGGCAUGUAUUAGGUUUUGUUUUAGUCACUUAAAUAUAUUUAUGUUUUGGGUGUAAGUAAUUUGUAACUUUUAAGAAGUAUUUGAAAUGAAUAGAUGAAUGUUAUUUGGUCAAGAUUUAUAAGUCAAUGUAUUGGGCAUGAAUUAGGUGUGUUUGAUAUGUGAAAAUAGCUUUAAAAUGGUGAAAAAUCAUGUUUUCACACGGCCAAGUCACAUGGGCGUGUGCCCAGGCCGUGUGGUAAAGUCAAAAUUGCCCACAAGUUAGUCCCAUAGCCAUGUGAGCAAGUCAGAUUUGCCCACGGGUUGGCCCUAAGACCAUGGGAGCCCCCCUGGCAGGCCACACAGGCAUGUCCCAUGCCACACGGGCGUGUGCCCCUAUUUUCAAGGAAAAGUUUCUAAAGUUCCCAGUUUAAUCCUAAAUCACUUCCUAAGCAUAUGUUGGGUCUCGUAGGUCCAUAUUUGGGACUUAAAGGUGGAAUUUGAGAAAUUUUAAAUUAAAACAUAGAUUUAUGACUCGGUGUUGUUCGUUAUAAGUGUUUAAUUCUAGUAAUUCUUUGUAACCCUGUUCUGGCAACGGGUUGAGGUUAAGGGGUGUUAUACGGCUACUUCCUCCGAAAAAGUAGACAUUAUCAACUCCUUUUUCCAUAUUCUGCUACUUGAUUCAAUUAGCUCAGCAACUUUAAAAAUGCUCAAAUUAUUAAUUAAAGACGAUAAUUUGGUAUUUUUUGCAUCUGGAAUCCAAAAAUCAUUAAUAGCUAAAAUAUCGGUACCAGUAC